rnacentral:misc_RNA from 1 species
UACGUAGGGGGCAAGCGUUGUCCGGAAUUAUUGGGCGUAAAGCGAGCGCAGGCGGUCUUUUAAGUCUGAUGUGAAAGCCCACGGCUCAACCGUGGAGGGUCAUUGGAAACUGGAGGACUUGAGUACAGAAGAGGAGAGUGGAAUUCCACGUGUAGCGGUGAAAUGCGUAGAUAUAUGGAGGAACACCAGUGGCGAAGGCGACUUUCUGGUCUGUAAUUGACGCUGAGGCUCGAAAGCGUGGGGAGCAAACAGG